CCGGCCAUCGGAGACGGAGAGCGGUGACUAUGGCAGGAAAGAGGAGGAGGUUGAUUACAAGAAGGAGGAGAAGCACCACAAGCAUCUCGAGCACCUCGGAGAGCUCGGAACUGCUGGAGCUGGUGCUUUUGCCCUGGUAAAGUGAUUCUUCAUCAAGUGCUUUUUUUAUUUUGUGAUAGUGUAUAGUUUCAUUUCUCAUGCAUACAUAUACAAAGUACCACGCAUGUAACUAGGCUUUUUGCAUGGAUUGGAGGAAAAAAAAAGAAAGAAUCCCAUUAUUUUCUUUAAUUUUAUCUCUAUGUUGACACUCAAUUAUUUAUUUAUUUUUGGGGGGUGGGGGGGUGUUGAUACGAUAUUGUAAAUGGAUCAGCUUGAGAAGCACAAGGCAGAAAAGGACCCAGAGCAUGCACACAGGCACAAGAUAGAGGAGGAGAUAGCCGCGGCAGCAGCCGUUGGAUCGGGAGGAUUUGCGUUCCACGAGCACCAUGAGAAGAAAGAAGCCAAGGAAGAAGACGAGGAAGCUCAUGGAAAGAAGCACCACCAUCUCUUUUAAUUAAUUAUGUGAUGCGUGCGCUACCUUUUUUAGUUUAUUAUAAUUAUGUGUUAAUAUUUUCUGUAUUUUAUUUGUUUUUGUUCGUUAAUUAUCAUUGAGCACAGAGGUAGCUAUCUGCAGCCCUAAAUAAUACCCUUGUGUGUUUGUGUGUAUGGGUGAGUCUGGUGACUUUUGUAAACAGACCGGAGUUAUCUGGUUAUGUUGUCAUCUUCCAUUUAUAUAUAUGUUGAUAAUAAAAAUUAGUUUUAAUUGUGUGUUUAUUAUUUAUAAGAUUUGACCUCAUGAUCUGAUGUUUUCUCCAAUCUCAGCUGUUGCUUUAGAAGUUGGGAUCAUCUGUUAAUUAUUAUUGUUUUUUAAAUGAAGUGAGCUGACAACCAUUGGGCUAAAGACUAAUAAUUCAACAUCAUAAAUAAACAACUCUCUUUGCCGUGAUGUAAUUUUAUUUGCCAAUGGGAUAAAGUAAAUUUAUGUGAAAUAACAUUUAUUCUAUGGACCCCCAGGCCAACUUUAGGGGAACAUUUUCCUAGAAUUGGCCUGGGGAGCAGCUGCGUGGUGGCAGCGCAGCUGCCCCAAACGGAUUUAUAUAUUUAUUAAAUUUGUUAAAGGAAUAUAUAAAGUUUAAAUUAACCUACAACUUUUCUUAAGAUUCAAAUCCUUGGGGCUUUAUCAAAUAAGAUUUGAUAUUAUAUCUGAAAAUAUAAUUGUGAAACCAAUGAUUAUAAGUUGAACUUAAUGUACAACUAAUCUUGAUAUUACCAAGUUGAUUUAUGGACUUUUGCUCGAGAAUGUUGUAUGACUCGUGACAAGUUGGACUGAAAAGCCCAUCGAGUAAUGGAAUGUUAGGUGUAUUUUCUCAAGAAGCAGCACUAAAUAAUCACCCGCUGACAGUCAAAUAAAGCUCACCAAUUAAUUGGACAACAACAAUUAUCUACAUCCAUUAAAGUGAAGCAAAGUAAAGAAAGGUCUAUGCAGGCUUCACAAGCACAAAUUAAUCAAGUAGUUGCACAAGCACAACCUGAACAAGCACCAGGUAAUAUUUAACCUCUAUGUUAAUUCCUUAUUUUUAUGUCCAUGAAUAAUAACUAAAUUAAUACUUUUUAGGAAUAUAUGGACCUCAAAGUACAAUUGGACAACAACAACAACCUGCAUAUAUUAUAGCGAGGCAAAGGAGGGCUAGACCAUUGCAUGAUCAAGGAACUAGUAACAACAACAAUAAUGGAGUUAUUAAUACCGAGCCUGUUCUAAAAAAAGUCAGAAAAGAGAGCAAAGAUAGGUUGAAUGCAACUCAACCAUCAGCUUCUAUGCCUGAUGGCUUUGGUGGUUGCAUGUAGUAUCUUGUAAAAUAUGAUAUCUAAUUAGUUUUGUUAACUAUUGUAGCAGGGGGUAAAGGUGGCUUCAUUCAUUGGGUAUGUGGCAAUAAAAUUCAUACCCAUUUGAAUAUUGUGUUUACUUUUGGUUAACUAUGAUGGAAUCUUCUUAUAUUAUGAUUACAUUUAGCUUAUAUGGCAUUGAUGCGUCAAACGAUUACUCCCUGAUUUUGAUUAUAACGAAGAUAUAUAAUUUUUUUUUUUUGGCAAUGCCGUAAGAUUUUGUUGGAUUGUUUUUGUAAGAAAUGAUUGGGUAUUUAUUUUUUUUGCAAGAUUAUAAUUGCGGAGACAUAAAUGGUUGAAAGGAUAGAAUAUUCGGGAAUGUUUGUGCAAGGAAUGUGGUUUGACAGAAGUGACGCAAAUUAGGCUUAUUGCAUUUGUGUUUUACGGGUAUGUAUAGCUUGAUUCAUGAAAUUAGAAAAUAAACGUUAGUCUUCCUAUUAAUAUUCAUUUUUUCAAUCCAUAUAUUAAUGGCAAUUAAGUCUUUUUGACUCUAAAAGUAAGGGCACUUUUAAAAUUUCACUUUGUUAUAUAUCAAUUAAAACAUGUGGGUAAUUGUGUGAUUUUAUCCACUAGAGCUAAGAAAAUUGGCGCCAAUCUCCUGUCAUUUGGAUACUAGGGGCAAAUAGGUAAAAGUAUUUAAAAAUUGAGCAACUUCUGUUAUUGUUAUAACAGCAGGGAGGAAAUUGGUCAUUAUGAAAAUAGUAAAGGAAGAAUUGGUAUAUAAUGAUUUUAAUAAGGGGGAAAUUAGCAAUCUCCCUUAUAACCACCGAAACAUCAACUGCCAUUGGAUUGGGACCCAUUUAACCACCGGCCAUAAAACAGUUUGGACGAAACUUAAUCCUGAAAAACUUAUGGACCUCCCUUUUCACUUGUUUUUAAAAAAAAAUUAAAGAAAAAUUACGUGUCAAAAAGGAAAAAAAAUUACACUGACGAAUCCCUUAUUGUCAUGCCAAAUUAUCACACUUAAAGUAAAGAAUUUAAGCAAAAGUCUUAAACCAUUAUAAAUGUGAACGUAUGGCUGAUUUAUGAUAUGAUGGGUCCAUCUAUUAAAUAUCUUGUUUUCUUUAGUGUGGAUGUUUUUAUUUUAUUUUAUAAAAGUAUGAAUUUAAUAUUUUAUAAUAUUAUAAAAACUAUAUAAUAUUAUAAAAUAUUUUAUAAAGUGCAAAGUUCAACACUUGAGAAAGAUUUCUUAAGGUUAAAGUUUAUCAUUACAAAGAGUGAAAAAAAAGAAGAAGAGGAAAAUAUCCAAUUGUAACUACAACCGUCAUGUUUUUACAUUGCAUUUCUUACAAUUUUCCAUUAAAUAUUUCUCAAAUUCUUUAGAGAAUUAAAAUAGAAUUGUUAUAAAAUUAAAUUCUCUCAUGAUCUAAAUUUGUCUCGUGUAAAAUUUAGUUGGAAAUUAGUGGUUAAUUAAAAAAAGUUAAAUCAAAAUCAUACAUAGCAUUAAAAAAAAAACAUAAAACACAAGACAUUUAAAAAUUCGAGAGAGUUCAUGUUAAGAAAGGGUCUUAAUUCAAUAAUGCAUAUGAUAUGAAAUGCAAAGUUUGGUGGGUCUAUUAAAACUAUAAUUAUUUUUAUCCAUUAAACUGCUAUUUCCUAUUUUAUGGAUAAUUCUUUUGAGCCACUGUUGAAGUAUUUGCAAUUUGUGACUAAAUUGUCUGAGCAUGAAGUCUCGUUGGUGAAACCAACCAUGUCGACAUAUAACGAAAAUAAAUCAAAAUCCGGAAACAAUAUUAAUGUAACAAUGAACCAACAGUAGACCAAUCGCAUUAUUAUUAUUAUUUGAGUACGUAAAUUGAUUUUUUUAGAGUAAAAAGAAAAAAAAGAUUUUUUUCUCCGUGAAUUUGACUUUUUCUUGUGGUACCGAACCAACCAUAGAGUUAUUACCUCUAAAAUUUUCUGAAGGUUAAGAAUUUUUUUUUUAAAACAAUUAAAAACAUCCCCAGAAAGAGACUCGAGUACACGUGUCAAAAAAUUGAAGUUUCUAACGGAGUUAAGAAAUAAGAAUAUGUUAAAAUAAGCAAAUUAAUGCAUACAUGUCAAAAAAUCUUCCAAAUAUUAAUUAAGUAAAUUCAGAUUAGUACAAUUUUAUUGAUUAGUUGGAUGUCACCCAGAAAAUCUAAAAAGAAAUUGUUAGCGACCCUUACCAUUUGAGUCACGAAAAGCUUAUAAAUAGACCCACAUCUCCCAUGCUAUGAUCAUCAGCAACACCAAAAACACUUUCUUGAAGUAGUGUCUAUAAAUUUCUCUUCUGCUAUCACUUUUUACUCUAUUAAUUAAUCAUGUCUGAGGAAAAGCACCACCACCACGGCCUCUUCCACCACCACAAGGAGCAUGAGAAGCCUGAGGGUGCCACCGGUUACUCCGACUCGACCACCGGAUACUCUGAUCAGUCAGCCACUGCUUACUCUGAGACUACAGGUUAUCCGGGAGACCGGUGCCGGCCAUCGGAGACGGAGAGCGGUGACUAUGGCAGGAAAGAGGAGGAGGUUGAUUACAAGAAGGAGGAGAAGCACCACAAGCAUCUUGAGCACCUCGGAGAGCUCGGAACUGCUGGAGCUGGUGCUUUUGCCCUGGUAAAGUGAUUCUUCAUCAAGUGCUUUUUUUAUUUUGUGAUAGUGUAUAGUUUCAUUUCUCAUGCAUACAUAUACAAAGUACCACGCAUGUAACUAGGCUUUUUGCAUGGAUUGGAGGAAAAAAAAAGAAAGAAUCCCAUUAUUUUCUUUAAUUUUAUCUCUAUGUUGACACUCAAUUAUUUAUUUAUUUUUGGGGGGUGGGGGGGUGUUGAUACGAUAUUGUAAAUGGAUCAGCUUGAGAAGCACAAGGCAGAAAAGGACCCAGAGCAUGCACACAGGCACAAGAUAGAGGAGGAGAUAGCCGCGGCAGCAGCCGUUGGAUUGGGAGGAUUUGCGUUCCACGAGCACCAUGAGAAGAAAGAAGCCAAGGAAGAAGACGAGGAAGCUCAUGGAAAGAAGCACCACCAUCUCUUUUAAUUAAUUAUGUAUUGCGUCCGCUACCUUUUUUAGUUUAUUAUAAUUAUGUGUUAAUAUUUUCUGUAUUUUAUUUGUUUUGCACGUUAGCCCUCAUUGAGCACAGAGGUAGCUGCAGCCCUAAAUAAUACUGUUGUGUGUUCGCGUGUAUGGGUGAGUCUGGUGACUUUUGUAAACACACCGGAGUUAUCUGGUUAUGUUGUCAUCUUACAUUUAUAUAUAUGUUGAUAAUAAAACUUAGUUUUAAUUGUGUGUUUAUUAUUUAUAAGAUUUGAC
rnacentral:lncRNA from 1 species